rnacentral:lncRNA from 1 species
AUAAAAUCAGAAAUAUGCUCUAUAGUCUCAGCUUCAUCCUAAAUUGAUGAAGUGAAAUGGAUGAAUUGAUUCUUUAACCAUUCAAUUUAUAUUCCUACAUUGCCACUCGUCAUAUAUUCAAGUGUACAACUUUUUUGAAGUGUCUCAUUCAGACAAAUGUUGAUCAGUCACCAUUAGUAUAGUCUGUUAGGAGAGGCUGCCUCCUUGAAAGUUCCAGAUGAUCCCAGGCACCACUUUGUCUUCUAACUUUGAUCAUUGUGAUAGGCAAAGUUGGGAUACCAAUAGUCUAAAAAGAUCAUUAGAGCACACAAUUUCCCUUGCCACAAAGAGGCUUUGUCCAAAUGGGAUUAUGAAUUUUAUUGCAAUUUUAAAUAAAUUUAUUAUUUUGGAUGCUACCAAUUAUGAUAUAUUGUUAUUACUAAGAAGAUAAAGCUGAAAAUAUCCUUUCUAAUCUAUAGCAUUGAUGUCUAUUGAUAUAUACUACCUAUAACAGAAUGUGUGAGUAUAUAUGUGAAUAAAUUAAUCUUCAUUCAUUUUUUGAAAAUCUUGCUAUCAUCCA